CGGAAUAACGUAAUCAUUUUGUUUUCAUACCGUCAUUUCAUUAAUCAUUUUAAAACCUUUUCUAAAAUGUCUAGAAAUCAAAUCAUUUUGUCAAAAUCUAUGCAUUUCUUUGAUGGAUGGACGCUAUAUUCCCAGAAGAAAGUUAAAUAUUGAACCGAAACGGUCCAAACCGAAGGCCUUGUACCGCAAUACGUACUGUACAGUGGUAAAAGCAUACUGUUUCACCCAGGGCUACAACAUACCCAUAUAAGGAGUCUAACUCUGGUCUUCAGCGUGAUGAGCGGAUACUUUAAUCACUAAGCUACCUUAUCUCCCCUCCUUUCCAUGAAUUUGAAAUCAACAGCCAAUAAAAACGAUUUUUCUCACGGAGGUGUUUGGCAUAUGUCUAAUCUAAGAGCUACGGCCUUGUUUGAGUUGAUGUGAAACAAUUAGUCAAAUCACACGACUCCAAACAUAAUCUUUCCACAAGCAACAAGAAAAAUAUCUGCAUUAAAUAGUGAAACUGAAUUAGACCCAUCCACGUCUUUCACUAAAUGGACCCGUGACGAUCCGGGUCAAAAUUGGUCUUCAGUAACCCAUGCUUGUCAUAAGA